UUUUACNGAGAGGUGNNAGACCUCGGCAUACUGCUCAGUAACACGUGGACAAUCUAACCUACGGAAGAGGAUAACCCCGGGAAACUGGGGAUAAUACUCUAUAGACUAUGGAUGCUGGAAUGCUUUGUAGUCGAAAGGUGAGCCGCCGUAGGAUGGGUCUGCGGCUGAUUAGGUUGUUGUUGGGGUAACGGCCCAACAAGCCUGUAAUCGGUACGGGUUGUGGGAGCAAGAGCCCGGAGAUGGAUUCUGAGACACGAAUCCAGGCCCUACGGGGCGCAGCAGGCGCGAAAACUUUACAAUGCGGGAAACCGUGAUAAGGGAACUCCGAGUGCCCGUAAAAUCGGGCUGUCCNUUUGUUUAAAAAACAAGUGAAGA
rnacentral:rRNA from 1 species